rnacentral:rRNA from 1 species
AGUGAACGCUGGCGGUAGGCCUAACACAUGCAAGUCGAACGGCAGCACAGUAAGAGCUUGCUCUUACGGGUGGCGAGUGGCGGACGGGUGAGGAAUACAUCGGAAUCUACUUUUUCGUGGGGGAUAACGUAGGGAAGCUUACGCUAAUACCGCAUACGACCUACGGGUGAAAGCAGUGGAUCUUCGGACCUUGCGCGAUUGAAUGAGCCGAUGUCGGAUUAGCUAGUUGGCGGGGUAAAGGCCCACCAAGGCGACGAUCCGUAGCUGGUCUGAGAGGAUGAUCGGCCACACUGGAACUGAGACACGGUCCAGACUCCUACGGGAGGCAGCAGUGGGGAAUAUUGGACAAUGGGCGCAAGCCUGAUCCAGCCAUACCGCGUGGGUGAAGAAGGCCUUCGGGUUGUAAAGCCCUUUUGUUGGGAAAGAAAAGCAGCAGGUUAAUACCCCGCUGUUCUGACGGUACCCAAAGAAUAAGCACCGGCUAACUUCGUG